rnacentral:tRNA from 1 species
UGGCCGGGAUAGCUCAGUUGGUAGAGC